UGGGGGGAUCCCGAAGGGAUCAUGGGAUAGUCCAUUCGUACUGGAAACAGCGCGUAUAGAAGAACCUCGAGAUGCGGGUUCAAGUCCCGCCCCCGCAA
rnacentral:tRNA from 1 species